rnacentral:lncRNA from 1 species
UUCCAUGAACCCAGACACUUCUAACAUCAAUGUCCACACUGUGAGCCCCCCUCAACUCUCAGGAUAUGGAUGAGGUCUGUGUUACUGGCAUUGAUGGAAGAAAUGGUGUGGUGGAAGCAAGCAUCUUUUUCACCCUUGAUUCUCUCCAUACUCUCCCUGGGUAUACACCUAGAUUGUAUGACAUUGUGAAUGCUACUGUGGUAGACAGCAUCCAGUCCCACUACUCUCAUAGAGUGGUGUCUAUGACUCCAGUGGAUAUGCUGUAUUAACCCAUAAUUUUGAAUCAUUUUUAACGUUACUUCUGGAUUCUAAUGCCUGGUUAAAUAGCAUAGUAUGAGUAAACAACAUAAAUGUGAUUGAAGUCAAG